AGAUUCCCACUGUCCCUG
rnacentral:snRNA from 1 species